rnacentral:rRNA from 1 species
AUUGAACGCUGGCGGCAGGCCUAACACAUGCAAGUAGAACGAGUGGCGGACGGGUGAGUAAUGUCUGGGAAACUGCCUGAUGGAGGGGGAUAACUACUGGAAACGGUCGCUAAUACCGCCUACCAUCAGCUGUGCCCAGAUGGGAUUAGCCAGUUGGUGGGGUAACGGCUCACCAAGGCGACGAUCCCUAGCGGGUCUGAGAGGAUGACCCGCCACACUGGAACUGAGACACGUUCCAGACUCCUACGGGAGGCAGCAGUGGGGAAUAUUGCAAAAUGGGCGCAAGCCUGAUGCAGCCAUGCCGCGGGUAUGAAGAAGGCCUUCGGGUUGUAAAGUACUUUCAGCGGGGAGGCGUUACCCGCAGAAGAAGCACCGGCUAACUCCGUGCCAGCCGCCGCGGUAAUUC